AUUAAAUCUUCAUUACAGUAUCAUUCAUAACUCCAUUUAAAUCAAUGGAAACUAAAUAUGGAUCGUUUCAUGGAGUAACAACAUACUUUGGAGUUUGGACCCAAAAUACAAUACACGUUAAUAUCGAACUUAUAAGGUGUUAAGCUGCAAUUACAAUAAAAGUGCUUGCCAUGGAAUCACCGGUGCUGAUCAUUAUUGUCAACUGUUACUUAAAAUCCAGAUGAACCAACCUUUACUUCCUAUUCAAAUAAGUUUAGAAGAAACCCAUGUAAGCAAUAAAACCAGACCAAGAAUGCUUGAUUACAAACGAUGAACUCAUUUCAUUUGCAAGUUAUGCCAUGACAUAAAUGCAUUAAAUUAGGAAGAUUUGUAUUAGAUGAAUUACCCAGAUAACAAUUAAAACAACUUCUGUUGAUAAGAACAUUUGAUUGGUGGAAUCCAGAUUCUGUGAAUGUACAUGUAAUUGAUUGACAAGG